ensembl:lncRNA
GAUGAACUCUUUAAGUAUUUGACCAUUGUUAGCUGGGUUUAAUCAAUUCAUAGAAUCACAGAAUCAUUAAGUUGGAAAAGACCUCUGAGAUCAUUGAGUCCAACUGAUCACCUACCACCAAUCCUGCCCACUGAACUAUGUCCCUAAGUACCACAUCUACCUGUUUCUUCAACACCUCCAGGGAUGGUGACCCCAUCAUUCCCCCUGAGCAGCCCAUUCCAGUGCCUGACUGCUCGUUCAGAGAACUUUUUCCUAAUAACCAACCUUGUUACCCAGUUAAAGUUUCUUUUGCUGACAAUUUAUCUGAAAAUUUCCUCUUUCCCCCCUAUAUUUCCUCUGUGAUCAGUAUGGCUUCCAUCUUGGGAACAUCUGAGUAGAAGAAGAUUGACUUUCAAUGAAACAUAACUUGCAUGUGUCUUCAGGAUAGCAGGGGAGGUAAUUUGCUGUCCAUUCAAUAACUAAGACAUGCUAAGGGUCUGACUACUUCGUUAAUGUUGUCAGUGCAAGCAGUCUGAUCUGCAUUCAUUAGCUUGCAGUUUCAUUUGUUCUAGAACAUGAUGCAGCAUGCAAGAGAAUGCUUGGUAUGAUACAGUGCCCUUUCUCCCCCCUGUAUUCCAGGAAUUAUGUUCCAAAAUGAAAGUGGAGCAUAGUUUUAAUAAAUUGACCUCUUGGAAGGUGUCAUUUCAAUGCACAUUUUCCAGAGAGAACUGCUGCGUGACUGUGCAUGAUGGGGCACGUGAGAGGGGCUGUCAUGCUGCCAAGCCUCCAUUGACUUCCACUGAUUUCACAAAACCAGUUUGCUAUGUCCAGAAGGCAUUCAGGUGCUUAGCUUCAUGGCUGGUGUCAACAAAGUAGAUUUAUACAGCAGCAUAUUGGUAGAUGUCUCUGCUCCACAGAGGAAGCGUUUUUCUCUAAGAGGCAAUGCUGUGUUCCUCUUUGGGAUGCUGCGAGCACAGAUGUGUGACUUGAGAGCUGCAGAACUUGGAUCUGAUACAGCUGGAUUCUCUCUGAUGAGAAAUCACUGGCAAUAAAUCUCUGUGUUGCAUGUUAGCAGAAGACAGGGUGUUUCUUCAGCACCUCCAGUACUGACAGGCUCUGUCACUUUGCCAAGGAGGCCAUUUGCAAGCCCAUAAUUGGUAGAUACUUUAUAGAGCCUCUCUUGUAGGUGUCUCUGAGCUGGGAUCGCCCACAUCACCUGCACACAUGCCAAGUGACAGCAAAGGUCCCACAAACGCAUUUCCUGUAAGUGUAUUCCAUUCCAAGCAGUGCCAAUAACACAUCUAAGAGCAAAGGCUGCUGGAGGACCUCAGCUCUCGCACCAAGGGCAGCUCCUUCUCACAUCCCCAUUAUCCUCCAGA